CGCCGAGAGCGCUAACGUCUCUUCAGCGUCCUGUCUCGCGGGAUUUCCCCACUGGCUUCUCGCGAGAAUGAAGGCAGGCGGCUGCCACGGAGAUGGAGCCGCCGCAGCGCGUGCCUACCGGUCUCCCCGCGAUACUGGCGCAGACAGACUGGUCUGAACCAUGGCUAUUGGGACUUGCAGUUUUCCACAUCCUCUGCUUCCUGAUCACUUGCUUUUCAUUCCAGCGCUAUCACCUGCAGAUAGGGCAUUUUCUCUGCAUGGUGGCCUUGGUGUAUUGUGCUGAAUAUAUCAAUGAACUGGCUGCUAUGAAUUGGAGGUUAUUUUCUAAAUACCAAUAUUUCGAUUCAAGAGGGAUGUUUAUUUCCCUAGUAUUUUCAGCUCCAUUGCUGUUGAAUGCUAUAAUAAUAGUGAUUACCUGGGUUUAUAAAACAUUGAAUGUAAUGACUGAAUUGAAGACACUACAGCAAAAAAGAAGAGCAGAAAAAGAAAAGAAAAAGUGAAUAUUAAUUGAUUUAUUUUCAAUAACACUCUGAGACACGAUGGUCAAGAUGGGUUCUGAAAAAUAUUUGGCAGUCAUGAUGGAUGAUCAGCCGAACAUGAGUGCCCAUUGCAACACCAGCCAAAAGGACUUUUGCAAUCCUGCAGAAUCUCAAGUGCUGAUCUUGCAAGCUGAUCAGUGGGGACAGUUCUCUGCACCUUUUGUGGAGCUGAACCAAAAUCAGUGAAGCUUGUGCAGUCCUAAGAGUCCACCCACACAGAUUGCCUUAUAAGGGCUGGGCCCUUCAGCAUCAGGGACAUGUCUCACUUUGUCUUGUACAGCAAGACAACAAUGUUGGAGCAUAAUAAAUAAGAGACUGCAGUGCUUAACAGAAUAAUGCACAUGCCAAUACACAAUCUUUAAUAAGUAAAAAUGGCAGUUUUAGCAUUGAGGAAGCUGGAUAUCACCAUAAUGCUACAAUAGUUUGCAUACUUUUAAGUGGAUAGAAGCUGGAUGUUUUCUUUGUUAAAAAUCAGUUAAUACAAAAGCACAAUGGCUUCUUUUUCCCCAAAGUGUGGAUAUGUGCACAUUCAAAGAGAAUAGGUGCCAAAUCAAUAAAGUAAGUAUUUUUUUUUAAAAUUGGAGUCUUAGCUUUGUUCAGCUCCAGGAAACUCUCAAAAUACACUUCAGAAUGCUAAGUAUAAUUGAAGCAGCACAUGGUUUUAAGCCUUCUCCGUUAAAAGGUCUCUUAAAGAUAAAUAGCAAUACAUUUAAGAAAAAUAAUAUAGUUGUAUAAAUUAAUGACUACAAACUGAGCCAAGUGUGAUUUCCAAAUGAAAUAAAAUGUAAAUAACAAAAGUAUUUCUGCAUUUUUUUUCCCCCAUGGGAUUAUCAAGCCUUACUUAUGUUGAUUACUUUUCCUAUAGAUAACCUUUUUGUGUAACAUUAUGAAGGAAAUUUUAAGUUUUAGAGUGAGGGAAAUACAUACAAGAACAGUAAAAAAUGUUUUUCAGAUUUAUAAAAAAAAUGAAAUGUGUUUUUAACCAUAAGAGCAUCCCUCAGAGAAUUAAAUGGAAAGUGCCGAUUGUGUUGGUUAUAAUAGGAAUGGAUUUAUGAAGUGAUAGAACAAUAAAUUUAAUCUAAAAGCCUACUUGCUGACAAACCUAAAAUAAUUACAUCCUGAAUUUAGACAGUUUUUGCUGACUUCAGCUUUCUAUAUGUAUAAGUAACUUGGGGCUACAUUUCUAUUUGUGGUAAAAAGCCUGAGUCCACAUGCUUGCCUGGAAGAUUUCAAUGGAGGUUUUGUGAGGAAAAGACUCCUUCUCAGUGAACCUGGAGCAGCAAAGACACAGCCAAGAGAUAGCUGCUCUACUAACUACUGCAUACUUUGGGCUACAAAGGGGAAUUUAGUCAUUGGAUUCAUGUAAGUGGCAGAGACAAGCUACACCCCCAACAUGCCCUGAUCUCUUCUCAGUGCUAUGGGGAGAACCACCGUGGAAUAAUGCUAAAAGGUGCAUGAGGAGUAUGACGUCCAUCCUUCCUGUAGCCCAGUUUUCUCUCUAUUUGAAUCAUGGCACUUCUGGUGCAUUAUGUGCCUCUGAAAGGGGGGCAAUUAGGACUGUGACCUAAAUUUGCUAAAGAACCUUAAAUGCAAUAGAAUUUGAAGUUAACAUCAUUCCAAAUGCAAAACUGGUUAAUGAACUGAGCUGAGGUGAAUUUCCCCAAAGACACUUGAUGCGACUCUGUCUGGAAACUUGAGGAGGAGGAGAAGAAAAAAAAACGAGGAGUCAGUUUUUAACAAUUUCAUUCUAUAUAAGAGGACACACACUCUGGAUUGGAACAGGUUUACUGAAAGUAAUGUGUUCCUUCAGUUCAAUAAGACAAGAAGUCAGAUUAUUUUUCCCCCUUUUUAUUUUAAAGCUAAACUAAAUCUGUUAAGAAUGAGGACAUCUACUAGUACUGACAUGCAGCAAUCACUUAGGGCUAGAUUUUGAAAGGUAUUCAGAUGCCUGAAGACGCAGAUUGGUGCCUAAUGGGAUUUUCAAAAGUGUUUAAGCAAGUUAGGCACCUAACACACAUUGAUUUCAAUGGGCUUGGCCAUUAAGAACAUGCAUAAUUUUAAACAUGAGUAAUUGAUGGGACUAGUCACAUGCAUAAAGCUAUGCAUGGACUUAAGUGCUUUGCUGGAUCAGGGCCUCAAGUAGCAUACUCAUUUUGAUAAAUCUAUCGUGUAUGCAUUUCAGAAAAUGUGUAGCAUAGCUUCUGCUAGGGUACUAUAUUAACUUUAAAACUUAGCCUUGUGUGUGUAUAAAGGAUUGUCAUCUGGAGGAGGAAAGGUUUGGUUUGCCUUUUUUACGUAGGUUUUAGUAGUAUAAAACUUUGGGAAAAAGUUUGAAGUCAGAAAUAACUGUUGAAUUUUGGUGAUCAAAAUUACACUGAAGUUUUGGACUCAAGACCUUUUCCAAUUAUUUGAGCUAUAGCAACUUUUAAAAAAAAAAAGAGGUUAUAUGUUAGGAAUUUGGAUGAUAAAGAAUCAAGUUUCUAAUUUAGUGAAUGUUUUGUUCCUCUAUCAUGUUGAACUGUUUUUUACAUGUAUAUAUGUGUGUGUGUGUGUCUCAUGCUUUUUAACAUAAUUAGGGGAAAAUACUUGUAAACACUUAACUUUACAGUGUGACUAAAAGCAGUUUGUGCAAGUUGUUAACCAAAGUUUGUAUCUCGGCACAGAAAACUUAGAUACAAAUGUAUACACAGAUAUACAGUAUCAAAUUUAAAUAUUUUUAAAUGCGGAACACCCCAGAAAUCUUGUACACCUCUACCCUGAUAUAAGGCUGUCGUCAGGAGUCAAAAAAUCUUACCGUGUUAUAGGUGAAACCAUGUUAUAACGAAUUUGCUUUGAUCCGCCAGAGCAUGCAGCCCUGCUCCCCCUGGAGUGUUGCUUUACUGUAUUACAUCCAUAUUUAUGUUAUCUUGGGGUAGAGGUGUAUAUGUUCAAGACAUAGGGAUCAGUUUUGAGUAUGGAAACAUCAGUUUACAUCCAGUACAAGUGUAAUAUGAGUAGGGAAUACUAUGGUAAAUUAGGAUUUAUGGGGCCCUAUGCAGUAUUAUUAAAACUGGUGCCCCUAUGCCUGACUUGCUCUUAGCAACACAAAUGUAACCUUACAGUAAUGAAAAACUUGCCACGUGCACUUUAUUAAAACUAGUUUAAACAA